rnacentral:lncRNA from 1 species
AUCAUGCUUACUGAGGUCCUACUAAUCAUGCUUACUGAGGUCCUACUAAUCAUGCUUACUGAGGUCCUACUAAUCAUGCUUACUGGGGUCCUACUAAUCAUGCUUCUCCUGCUUUUGUUUUCUUCUGGGGAAUGAGGCCUGUGUUCACUCUGCUCUUUCUAAGCUGUGGAGAGAAAGGGAGAAAAAGGCUUGCAGACCCAACCUCCAAUACCACAGAAGUCUUUGGUCCCAGUCAAAGCUCUUUGGAGGAAAAAGCCUUUGGAAGUCGUGAUUCUGGAAGCUGUCCAAGGUGAUAGCCAGGAAGCCACAUUGGCCUUGGCCAGUGGUUAGGGAGGAAUCUUCAGUCCCUCCCAGGAUCUGUGACUGUCAUUACUGCUGACAUGAGCUGACUUCAUCGCCCUGCUGGGCCACCAACAGCUCUGCUUCGGACUUACCAAAUCUAGACCCAGCAUGCAGGACCAGUCUCUUCCAGCAGCCCCCAGCAAGGGCGCCAUGGCGGCCACCUACUUUGCUCUGAACAGGACCCCACAGGCACCGAGGCUAGAGCCUGUGCUCUCAUCUAGCUUGGCCCAACGCAGAGGCAUGAAGAGACUCACGUCUACCAGGUUGUAGUGGCCAGCCAAGUCUCCAGCCUCAGUCGCCCUGCCCAACGUCCUCUCAGCCUCACAGACGCCAGACACAGGUCCUGUUCAUGGGCACUUGAGUGCCCAUGAGUCCAGCACAAAGAUGGAUCUGGCCUUGGCUAUCUCUCUGUUUCCUUUGCAGCCCUAGAAAGGGUCCUGCCCAGGAUGUCUGAGCCUUGCUGCGCCGACCUCUCCGCCCGCUCUCUCUCUCCUCCUGAGUGAAACCAAAUGAAUCUGUCACCUCAUAGCACCCUGCUGGGGCCUCCCUGGGCUCACUCAGGGCUCUCAGUGUCUCCAUGUCAUGGCUUAUGCCCAAAGCAGAGCUCUUUUACCAUCCUGAUGUCACCUACGUGUCCCACUGUCUCUCUGAGAGUGUUAGUGCACAGUCCCUGCCUGGAGACAGCAGAGCCACUUUCGAAGAGCUGGAUGUUUCUGGAUGUUCUGGCAAUGCCAGUGGCCCUGUGAAAGCAUCCAGCUUAGAUGCCUGACUCUGUCCACAAUCACCCAAAGAGUGCCUCUCACCACCCUCCUGCUCUCAAGCAAGAUGCUGGGUAGCUUCUCCCUGACUCUGUCACUGACUUGGCAGGAUGAAAGCAACCAACCCAAGAGUCUAGAUGGGUAGAGUCUAUUUGAGAGCGUGAUUUCUGUUGGUUGAGACAGGAGCCCCAGGAAAUUGCCGGGCAGAGCCAGUACCCACUACACUGCUGCCCCCUUAACCCUGUGGCCCCAGGGACACUGGAGAGAGUGGGGCUCUGCCAUUGCUGGGUGUGUUGGCAUCUCUGCUCAUAUUUGCCUGCUGUGGUAUAGCAUAUUCACUCUCUCUCUGCUUUCCUGGGCCACAGAGAAUGUCUUCUCCUCUACCCCUCUAUCCCUUCUUGACUGAGGACAGGAGAGACACCUGAGCCCCUUGCCUUAGACAGGCAGAAGGUGCCUGGACAAGUUGUCAGUGGGAGUGAUGCUCUUCUUAGAAGCUGUGGUCCUAUGUUGCAUCUUGUGUUUCUGUUGUCUAACCUGUUUUCAGGCUGUAGUCUGCGCAGGGAGCAGUAGUUACACGGACCAGGCUAUCUGUGGCAUACUCUUCAUGCAGAGUAACCGAGUGAGACCCUUCCCCCGUGGCGUGCUCCACUCCUCCUGGUCGGAGAGGAGGGACUUGUGUGUCCUGAAGUCUCUCUGGAGGCUGCUGAGGAUAGUGGACUCAGGUCAGAAGACACUCCACUGUGGCUCAGAACCUGCCAGUCUGAGAAGCAGCCCCUCUGCCCAGUAGAGGCACCUGUAGGAGGCGCCUGUUGGCCACAGCAGGCUUACACUAGGAAGACCACAGGUGGACCACGGCUGCUUCUGCAAUGCCUGCCCCAGUGGAAUGUUCAGAACAUAAUUCCUUUGCUCAGUCUAAUUAUUUCAGACCUCAAAACGUAAACGUAUUUCUGAAGCUUUAAUUACUCCACUGGACUCUGUUCUGUUUGAGAAUUAUAAAAUACAGAGUGGGGAUAGACUGUGUGCCAUUUCCAGUGUCCCUGGGGAUGGUCUCCUGCUUUCUCAGUGAAUGCUCUGCCCAAGGCUGAGAUCAUCUCCCAGUUAAUGUUCUGGGCCUGAAUCCUUCCGAUUCUUGAUAGAAAUCCAGAGGGAAAGUAUAGUGGGUAGUCUUAGUGACAGAUUCUGUCCUCUGGGAAAUGAACAGGAGCUCUGGCACCCUCCGAGGGCCUCUCUGGCAUGCACCCUUGCUCCAGCUGCUCACGGCUCAGGCUGGGUUUGCUUGCAGCUUCAAGUGUACAUGUUCUAAUGAAAAGAAAGAACAACAGAACACAGAAGGCAUGGCUGAGGAGGCGAGCAUAACCUGUCCCCUUCAUGGUCAUGUGGCCGCAUCACCUCUUUCAGUAAUGUGAGGUUACCUGCUUUACACUCAGCCUACUCUCGCCAAAGGGAUGGAGGAGACCAUCAGUCAAACCAAACGCAUCCUCUGGAUGUGUCUGGAAGGAUGCUCAGCCUUGCCCUGCAGAGAGUGGAGUACCCCACAUUCCCACCUCACCCAGUACUUGAUACUUGAAAUCUCUUGUGGAGUCAGUCAGAGGAGCACGUGACAGGAUCGUUUUAAUCCCUGUUCUUUAAAGUCUUCAGUGCCACAGCAGUCUGCUGUGGCAUGUAACCCCGUGUCCCCGGUGUUUACCUGGCCUGUGACCCUUUACCCAACACGAGGAAAGGCUCUGUAUUCUCUACACAAAUGACUACUUGUGUAGCUACAGAAUUUGUCAUGGGAAAGCCCAGCCUACAUCCUGGAACUCCUUUACCCAUCCCCAGAGCUACUUUUGGGCUAUCCCACUGCAGCUCCUGCCCUGUUUGGGCUGAGAACAUGAUGAGCGCUCCACUGAAGGAGGUGGGGAUGGGGUGCUUGUCAGAUUCUGUACCCCAGAGUCAAUGGCAGGCAAGCCGUGAACGUCCCCUGUCCUAUGGUUGGAACGUGUGUGAUUUUGAACUACCUGUGUGCACUGGUCUUUGGAUAUUGUUUGGCUUUUUAAGUGAGGAUCGUCCUGAUGGUAUCUAAUGUCAGCAGUAUUCCUGAUUAAAUGGUGUUCUUCCUUAAGAUGCCCGUUGGGAUUUCCCCUGCAUUGUACCGCUUCUCUCAAGCAUAGGAGGAGAUACACCGUGACUCUUCAUUCUCUCUGGCACAUUUUGCUGCCCUUCACCACCCGCAAGACUGUGAGACACCUGGAGUGGGAAAGGUCUCUGGGGUCCCUCUGUGGCAGGGACAGGUGGAAGGGGAAGCCAGCAUGGCUCGUCUGUGCAGGUGAAAGGCACCACCCCACUCCCAGCCUGCGCUGCGUUUACAUGAUCAGCAGUUCCGUUUACAGCUCACUCCAUGUUCACACUUUCUGGCUGUGUGUUGAGACGGCGGCCACUGUACAGAUAUUUAUUAUGCUUUCCAAACUUUCCCAUGAGAUUUUUUGAAUAAACAUGGAUUUUAUGAAGUGUAA